rnacentral:misc_RNA from 1 species
GGACAAUGUAAGUCUUUAUGUGGGUAUAUAUCCGGUCACACAAAAUGGUUUCUUUUACCCAUUUAUUUUUAUAUUUUCAUUUUUCUCCUGAGGAUGGUUUGUUGUCAAUAUUGCCUCAUGGUGACUAAACUUGCUAUUAAAGGUGGAGAAACACUAAGCCUCAAGUCAGUUUUGGUUUUCUAUGUUUUGAUUGAUGAACAUUUCUCCAGUUUUGGCCAUUUUUUUUUAUGAUUCAGAAUGCGGA